UUGUACUAUUUAAUGGUUUUAAUAAAAUUAUUUAUUUCAGAAAUUCUGACAUAGAUAAAGAUGUAGUAUAUUUACUUCAAGUGCUAAUAAUACUAGGUAAAUUUCAUAUUCACAAAUGCAAAUGGUCUAGUUAAAAACCUAACUUUUUUCACUUUAUAAAUUGAAUUUAAACAAUAUGGCACUACUUUAACUAAAAUGAAAAACAAAAAGGUUGUUGUAUUAUUAAUGAAUGUGAUUUGUUUGUUUAGGGUUCCUGGCAAUGUAAAUAGUUUGUAUGUAUGCUUGUUUGCAUGUGACUAUUUUGAUGGAAAAUGUCUCUUCAGCGUAGAAACAUCUCAUUUUGACUUCAGCAGGUGAACUUUGAUCUGCCUACUACAAACCAGCUGCUUACCUUGGAAAGUGACUGAGACAAUGUCACUGAGAGGAGAUGGGUUAGACCUCCCUGCAGCAUAGUAGAUACAGCUCACUUUGAUCUCAGUAUGUAGAUCAUUACCUGCCCAUUUAAGCACCUCAGUCCCUGUUAGUGUCUGUUGACAAGAAUGGUGUUGCAGAUGCUGUCCCUCUAUUUUUAAGUUACACUGAGACAUAUGGAAGAGUUUGACAGAUCAUCUGAACUGAGUCUCUCUCUCUCUGAUGACUGUAGAACUCACUGUCAGUCGUGGGUUUAGGAGGAAAGGAGUACUUUACACUAUAUAUCUCAAGUAGUGCAUAAGUCUUUCAAAUUCAUUGCCAUUUUAUACAAUACAAGUUGGAGUGAACACAUACACUGUAUCUGACUGCAUGUGAUGAUGUGAGUGCAUUGGUCACAGUAACUGUUAUAAAGUAUGUGCUUUCAUCUUUCUAUGUUCCCUUCAUCAACAUCAUUGUUCCCCCAAACAGAAAACACACACACAGUGAAUGACAUCUCCCAAAUGAACUAGCCUUUCACUUAACAGAUGACAGUGACUGAUUAUAACUACUGUCAGCAAGUUGCUUUAAUGGUGUAACUGAAAUAGUUAAAAUAGCAAAACUACUGUAAAACGAACGUGUGUUGAGAUGUUACUAUAUCCUCCUUAACAAUGUUUUCUCACUAACCUUGAGCUUGGAGAAAAAAAACAGCAUCUAGAAAGAAAUAAAACAAGCAUGUUAUUCAUUCUGGGAGAAAAAAACUAUCCUUCAAAUGUCUUUGUGUGUCCUCUCUUUACAUUCACAUUGCAUUCAUACAGAUACAGUACAUUAGUAAAAUGGAGACUGUUCAUGAGCAGUAACAACUCAAUCACACAGUACAUAAUGACUUCCACUUCUUCACAACAGUAUCUCGGACCUGCCUGGUGUAUUCCUUGUUCUUCAUGAUGCUCUCUGCGCUUUUAACGGACCUCUGAGACUAUCACAGUGCAGGUGCAUUUAUACGGAGACUUGAUUACACACAGGUGGAUUGUACUUAUCAUCAUUAGUCAUUUAGGUCAACAUUGGAUCAUUCAGAGAUCCUCACUGAACUUCUGGAGAGAGUUUGCUGCACUGAAAGUAAAGGGGCUGAAUAAUUUUGCACGCCCAAUUUUUCAGUUUUUGAUUUGUUAAAAAAGUCUGAAAUAUCCCAAAAAUGUCGUUCCACUUCAUGAUUGUGUCCCACUUGUUGUUGAUUCUUCACAAAAAAAUACAGUUUUAUAUCUUUAUGUUUGAAGCCUGAAAUGUGGCAAAAGGUCGCAAAGUUCAAGGGGGCCGAAUACUUUCGCAAGGCACUGUGUCUGUGUCUGGUGGGCAGACUGAUGAACUGUGUCGUUAAACAGUCAUCAUAGAGAAGUGUUCAGUUCCCACAGGAAAACCACAUGAGCGGGUUUAAAACAAUGUGUUCUAAGAGACCAGCCCACACACAAGUCAGAAAGAAAGUCACCUUUAUUGAAUGUAUAUAAACAAGCUGGCCAACACUCAAUAGUAAUAUUCUGAUACAGCACAUACAAUAGAAAUGUCUGGGGCACUGGAGACAGCCUCCUAAAAACACCAAACAUGACACACUCUCUCUCUCUCUCUCAUGUGCAAACAAGCAGAAACAUACAGUACACAGACACGUACAAACCCUCACACACAUACACACAUACAGACACUUUAUAUUUUCUCUCUCUCUCUCUCUCUCUCUCUCUCUCUCUCUCACACACACACUUCAUAAUUUCUCUCACACAUACACACACACACACACACACACACACACACACACACACACACACACACACACACACACACACACACACACACACACACACACACACACACACAAUCUUUCUCACAGAUUUACUCCCGCAACACCCCAAAAACAUGCUUCCUCUUUCAUAACACUGCACAGGCUGCCUACUAGGUGGACAGGACAAGUGAGGAGACACACCACUCUCAAACACAACAUCACACCGUCACCAUGCAGAUGCACUUCAUGUAUGAUGACUGGAGCACCAUGGGAAAUAAGCCCAGGUUCACACAAGUAAUCAUUCAACAUGCUGGAUACACAUUUAACUUGUUCCUAAAUCCUUACUGUACAGAAAACAUUUACUAAUACACAUAGUACAGUCCCAAAAUGACAUAUUCAAUAAGACAAACUGAAAAAAAGUCUAACUUAAAGAUGGAAUCCACAAUAUGGGAAAACAGCUCCACUGCCAUUAUUGUUUUUGUUUUGUUAACAAAGAAGAGGUGGGGAGCGUCACGCGUCAGGGUAAAAAACAAAGGUUGAUAUGCUGCUGUUCUAUCCCGCGUGCAAUGAUGUCAGAGAGAAACAAACAGUGUUGCAGUAACUUCUUUGUUGUUGUAAAAUCCCAAACAGACCUGGCAGUUUCACCAUUAAGGAUUCCAGCUUUAAAUCUACAAAAGUAAAAACACAAAAGACAACAAAAUUGUUUCAGGCAUUGGUCACAGUGUUUUGUUUGAUCCAAUGGUUUUGCAUUUUCAACAUCAUACCAUAAAUCAAAUGCCACUUGUACGAGACAAAGAAGGUGAAUCUGUCUGCCUGUAUUAGGCUUCUCGUACUCCUUUUCAAAUCAGAAGGCCUUUUACUCUCUUGAUCGCUAUUGGUGAAGUCUGCUGUCUUUAACUCCUGGGUCAUGUUCAUUAGCCACCAAACGGAAGAAAAAUCUAGUGAAACAGGGAAGGACUACCUGGACUUGUCCAAUUUCAUUCUUCUUUUGUUUACAUUUGUUUAACUAGGCAAGUCAGUUAAGAAAAAAAUGUUAUUUUCGAUGAUGGCCUACGAACAGUGGGUUUACUGCCUUGUUCAGGGGCAGAACGACAGAUUUUUAUCUCGUUAGCUCGGGGAUUCAAUCUUGCAACCUUUCGGUUACUAGUCCAAUGCACUAACCACUAGGCUACCUGCCGCCCUAAUAAGAAACACUCAUUCUUCAUUUUGCGUUGCAAAGCCUUUUAAAACAUUGCAUGCCGUAAUGAACACAACCCUGGAGUAUGUUAACCGAUAGGCCACUGAUGACUGCACAUUAAGAUCUCUGCAUAGAAGAUAGGAAAUUAUCCCCAGACUAUCACUCUGUUGGCACAUCAUGUAAACAUCUGCAUUGAUGGGCACAAAUGAAGUGUUCAACGUUUUCUACCAUGUUGUAUUUACCAAGUGCUGUACAGUCACUUAUCACGGUAGGAGAACCCAUACUUCAUCUAUUCAGUAGUAAAGAACCUGAACAUGGGGGAUUCUGAAUCCGUUCCCCCUGAUGGCUACGUUCAAAAUAUCCAGGUUAAGACAAGAAGAUUCUAAUAUCCCAUAACUCUUUGCACCAAUACUCAACAAGGGACCUGCUUCCGCAUUCGGAAUGACUGGGAGUGAAUGAUAGCAACACAGAAAGUUUGCCAUCAAAGUGAAAAAUAAACACAACUGUAAUGAAUUUCAGCUAACUACUCAUUGAAUACAUAGCAUAACUGCUUUACUGUCAUUCCAUUCAUUUAGACUCUAUUACUGGACUUCCUGACCGCUGGUCAUGUCUCAAUGCUAAUGUAGAAUCCAGCAAUAUCAAAGCUGCCAUUCAUUUUUAUUUUUUAAAUAUUUCCACAUAUUGUCUUAACAUUCCCAUCUUCAACAAAGCCUGAUGGUAAAGUGAGAGGUUUUUAACUCCUCUGUCCACGUGCUUUUCCAUUUAUACCAAUCUCUGACAUUGUAAACACAAACACAACACCACAGAACGUCUUUUUUUCAAUUUGAUUUCAUCGGAAACUUGUCAUUCUUGGGCAAUGAGAGGAUGAGUUGUGAGAUUCAUGUCCUGUCUGAAUGUUGAAGCUGACAGACAAAUGGAUACAGAGGUGACGUUGGUAAGUGGAUCACUUUUUGUAUGGUACCCGUUGGAGGACGAGGACACACACACACCAUGGAGGGGGGUUAGUGGUAGUAGUGAUGGAGGGGGUUAGUGGUGGUAGUGAUGGAGGGGGUUAGUGGUGGUAGUGAUGGAGGGGGUUAGUGGUAGUAGUGAUGGAGGGGGUUAGUGGUAGUAGUGAUGGAGGGGGUUAGGGGUAGUAGUGAUGGAGGGGGUUAGUGGUGGUAGUGAUGGAGGGGGUUAGUGGUGGUAGUGAUGGAGGGGGUUAGUGGUGGUAGUGAUGGAGGGGGUUAGUGGUGGUAGUGAUGGAGGGGGUUAGUGGUAGUAGUGAUGGAGGGGGGGUUAGUGGUAGUAGUGAUGGAGGGGGUUAGGGGUAGUAGUGAUGGAGGGGGUUAGGGGUAGUAGUGAUGGACGGUGGUUAGUGGUAGUAGUGAUGGAGGGGUUUAGUGGUGGUAGUGAUGGACGGGGGUUAGUGGUGGUAGUGAUGGAGGGGGGUUAGUGGUGGCAGUGGCGAGGGGGAGGGUUUUGCCAAUAGAUGGGUUUUUGUUGACACCUGACACCCUAGACCCACUCCAAUUUGCUUACCGCCCAAAUAGGUCCACAGACGAUGCAAUCUCAACCACACUGCACACUGCCCUAACCAAUCUGGACAAGAGGAAUACCUAUGUGAGAAUGCUUUUCAUCAACUACAGCUCGGCAUUCAACACCAUAGUACCCUCCAAGCUCGUCAUCAAGCUCGAGACCCUGGGUCUCGACCCCGCCCUGUGCAACUGGGUCCUGGACUUCCUGACGGGCCGCCCCCAGGUGGUGAGGGUAGGCAACAACAUCUCCACCCCGCUGAUCCUCAACACUGGGGCCCCACAAGGGUGCGUUCUGAGCCCUCUCCUGUACUCCCUGUUCACCCACGACUGCGUGGCCACGCACGCCUCCAACUCAAUCAUCAAGUUUGCGGACGACACAACAGUGGUAGGCUUGAUUACCAACAACGACGAGACGGCCUACAGGGAGGAGGUGAGGGCCCUCGGAGUGUGGUGUCAGGAAAAUAACCUCACACUCAACGUCAACAAAACUAAGGAGAUGAUUGUGGACUUCAGGAAACAGCAGAGGGAACACCCCCUAUCCACAUCGAUGGAACAGUAGUGGAGAGGGUAGCAAGUUUUAAGUUCCUCGGCAUACACAUCACAGACAAACUGAAUUGGUCCACUCACACAGACAGCAUCGUGAAGAAGGCGCAGCAGCGCCUCUUCAACCUCAGGAGGAAAUUCGGCUUGUCACCAAAAGCACUCACAAACUUCUACAGAUGCACAAUCGAGAGCAUCCUGGCGGGCUGUAUCACCGCCUGGUAAGGCAACUGCUCCGCCCACAACCGUAAGGCUCUCCAGAGGGUAGUGAGGUCUGCACAACGCAUCACCGGGGGUAAACUACCUGCCCUCCAGGACAGCUACACCACCCGAUGUUACAGGAAGGCCAUAAAGAUCAUCAAGGACAUCAACCACCCAAGCCACUGCCUGUUCACCCCGCUAUCAUCCAGAAGGCGAGGUCAGUACAGGUGCAUCAAAGCUGGGACCGAGAGACUGAAAAACAGCUUCUAUCUCAAGGCCAUCAGACUGUUAAACAGCCACCACUAACAUUGAGUGGCUGCUGCCAACACACUGACACAACUCCAGCCACUUUAAUAAUGGGAAUUGAUGGGAAAUGAUGUAAAUAUAUCACUAGCCACUUUAAACAAUGGUACCUUAUAUAAUGUUACUUACCCUACAUUAUUCAUCUCAUAUGCAUACGUAUAUACUGUACUCUAUAUCAUCGACUGCAUCCUUAUGUAAUACAUGUAUCACUAGCCACUUUAACUAUGCCACUUUGUUUACAUACUCAUCUCAGAUGUAUAUACUGUACUCGAUACCAUCUACUGUAUCUUGCCUAUGCUGCUCUGUACCAUCACUCAUUCAUAUAUGCUUAUGUACAUAUUCUUUAUCCCCUUACACUGUGUAUAAGACAGUAGUUUUGGAAUUGUUAGUUAGAUUACUUGUUGGUUAUUACUGCAUUGUCGGAACUAGAAGCACAAGCAUUUCGCAACACUCGCAUGAUCUGCUAACCAUGUGUAUGUGACAAAUAAAAUUUGAUUUGAUUUGAUUUGUUGUUCUCUACACACUCAACUGUCAUGUUUAUCACCACAUCUGGAUACACUGGGACAAUGACAUUGACAACAAACAAACACACAACACUGAGACUGGAUAACGCAUCUGUAAUGACGGAGUCACUCCAACCCUCCACUUUAACAAUGGUAGUGAUAGUCCUCGCUGCCAAGUGCAAGUUUAAGAAGUAAUCUCACUGAUACUAUAGUGAUUGUGUGUGUGUGUCUCAAAAAAUAUUUCUCACGCUGUAGCAGGAAUGUAAGAGCUCUUCCAAAUGAGAAUGAAAUAGUCUUCUUGCCUUUGGACUGUGUCUCAAGGCUAGACUUUCCUUAGUGAGAGCCAGUCUGUUUUCAUACAGGGAAUGCUGAGUGCUGUUUUUUUUCUUGUAAUGUUAAAAAACAGAGGAAAGUCACAAACGUUACUCCACACACUAAACACGUUUAAAAAAAAAAAAUCCUUAGGCCAGUUUGAACAACAAAAAAAAAACAUGUAUUUUUAUCCUCAUUCUUUUUUUCAUGGCACAAUAUUCUGACCACAUAGACAUGUAGACUUUAGAUCUCUUUCUAUAUAUAUCUAUAAUAUGUAUAUAAUAUGAACGAGGCACAAGGCCACCUUGUUGAGAAGAACAUAAACGAGUCACUAGGCUUGGGUUUGGGUUAGCACAGACUAUGACUGCUGAAAGAGAAGAAGAGAGGAUGAGAAAAGAGGUCAUGAAGAAGAGGAGGGAGUAGGGAGACGAUGAGCCGGAGAGAGGGCUAUAAAGGUAUGGCAGGAAGUCUCAUACACCUGGGUGUCCAUGGAUGCCAUUACACAUAUCAAAUCUCUCCAUCUGAUCCUACGUACAAUACAGUCUUCUACAGUUCAUAAGCAAGCCAGGUUAUGGGAUCAACAUCCCGAUUUAGUGACAUGAUUGCACAACAUCCAAUGGACGUGUCCCUUGGCUGUGUCUCUGGUUGAACAUCAUGUUGUGAGCACCAGUGAUCUAAAAGCACCAUUAGAAGUAUCCCUGAAACAGGGGAGAGGAAGGUGCAUAGGUGCAUAUGAUGCUGAGAAACAAACCAUCAUGUAAUCUGAUUGGUGUAUGUUCUGAAAAUACCAUUCUGAUUGGUACUGGUUUAAGACAUCUAAAUGCUUUUUGAUUGGUGCCCUUGACUCAUGACUGAAUAAAAGCUGCAUUAUUAGUUCUGACAUCUGCAUAGAUUGGAGUUUUAACUGUGACAUCAACUGAGGUAACAGGAUAGAUACACAGUUGGAAGUCCCAAGCCCAAAGGCCCAGCAAACCCCUGGUACAGGGCCCUACCCAUAAGGCCAUGCGAGACUGCACAUUAACGGCACAAGUAAACCUUCAGUACUACAGGCAAGCCUAUUGGUCAGAUAAGAGCUAUAGUUGGUGCCUAUUGGUCUGAUAAGAGCUUUAGUGGGUGCCCAUUGGUCAGAUAAGAGCUGUAGUGGCUGCCCAUUGGUCCGAUAAGAGCUGUAGUGGCUGCCUAUUGGUCGGAUAAGCGCUGUAGUGGCUGCCUAUUGGUUCCUCUUCCUUGUUCUGAUGCACUUAACACAAAACACUCAUAGCCAUAGUCAUGUACUGCAGAUGAAACACACUCAACAAAAGGUAAUUAGAAGAUAAAAAUAAGUAGCACAACAAUUUAAAAGUAAACUAAAGCUGUAACUGUAUGGCACUUCAUAAAAUAUGUGGGAAGAGACAGGCUAUCUCUGGAAAAAGAGAAAACUACAAAAAAAAACUACAUAUGAGUAAAAUAAGCACUGUGAAGACAGACUAUCAGUAAGUAGGGAGGAGACUGACGGGCAGGGGAGCCAAUCAGAACCAGCCGGGGAUGAACAGGGUGGGGCAAAUCAGGUAAACAGGGCACCUCAGGUAAGCAAGGUGGAGUUAGGAGAGUGAACCAAUUAGGCGCAGGUUGGUGAGAAUGGGGGGGCAACAGGUGAGCUGAGCAGCUUGACAACUGGGCCAGAGUGGCUGUGUGAGUUUGGCUGUGUGAGCAGGACGACGGAGCUGAGACCAGACAGCUCAUCUGUCUGUCUGUCUGUCUGUCUGUCUGUCUGUCUGUCUGUCUGUCUGUCUGUCUGUCUGUCUGUCUGUCUGUCUGUCUGUCUGUCUGUCUGUCUGUCUGUCUGUCUGUCUGUCUGUCUGUCUGUCUGUCUGUCUGUCUGUCUGUCUGUCUGUCUUUGUCUGUCUUUGUCUGAGGGGGACCCAGUCUGUCCAACCCAGUUUAACGUCACAGAAAGCACUUCUGUGUCUGUGUAGGGCCACUCAUCCUCCACAGAGUCACUCUCAAAGAUCUGGCCAGUUUCUCCAAUGUCUGUAGAGUGCUCUUCACAUGAUGGCUCCUCAGUCAUCUGUAAAAAUACACAUAAUGGUGUAAUUAACACUAGAGUUGUUCCUGUCCAUUUACAGUGAUUGUCGAAUGAACACUAAACAAUAAUUCACAGUGCUUUAUUCUAUAUCUAUCAAUU
ensembl:lncRNA